GGGGCAUGUGAAAAGGGAGGGCCACCCAAAUGGGGAUUAAGGAAUGGAUCCCGCUAUGGAAUUUAAGUCCGCCCAGAGUGUCAAGAUUUCAUUCAGCGUCAUCACAGAAGACUGAUAAAUGACCCUGUAAAGACAAAGACAAUUUUUUUGCUUCACAAACCAAAUAUUUCAUAAUUUGCUCUCAUUUGAUGUGAUCCUACCCUUGGACAUCGCCCUCCACAUUUGCAUGUGCGUUUAUCUGCUGCUGCACGGUUAUAGCGGCUUUCUCCAAGACCGCCAGGAGGUGGACAACAGCAGCCAGCUCAGUCAGAGUGCUGAAGGUGUCAGAGUCCAGCGAGGAGAGAACCUCAGCCAAAAAAGCCCUGAAGGCAACACGCAAGCACCAUUG